rnacentral:telomerase_RNA from 1 species
GUGGCCCGGGCCGGGUGAUGGCCGCAGCUCAUCUAACCCUAUUUGGGUUGGGCGUAGGCGCGGGGCUUUUGUUCCCCGCGCGCUGUUUUUCUCGCUGGCUUUCAGCGGGCGGAAAAGCCUCGGCCU